rnacentral:rRNA from 1 species
AUUGAACGCUGGCGGCAUGCCUUACACAUGCAAGUCGAACGGCAGCACGGGAGCAAUCCUGGUGGCGAGUGGCGAACGGGUGAGUAAAGUAUCGGAACGUGCCCAGUCGUGGGGGAUGACGUAGCGAAAGUUACGCUAAUACCGCAUACGAUCUAUGGAUGAAAGCGGGGGAUCGCAAGACCUCGCGCGAUUGGAGCGGCCGAUAUCAGAUUAGGUAGUUGGUGGGGUAAAGGCUCACCAAGCCGACGAUCUGUAGCUGGUCUGAGAGGACGACCAGCCACACUGGGACUGAGACACGGCCCAGACUCCUACGGGAGGCAGCAGUGGGGAAUUUUGGACAAUGGGCGAAAGCCUGAUCCAGCCACGCCGCGUGCAGGAUGAAGGCCUUCGGGUUGUAAACUGCUUUUGUACGGAACGAAAAAGCUCCUUCUAAUACAGGGGGCCCAUGACGGUACCGUAAGAAUAAGCACCGGCUAACUACGUGCCAGCCGCCGCAGUAA